CUGACUUCUUGACAGCUAAAAUAAAUUGUCAUUGCUGUAGUAGGUACAUUCUAUGUUACUGGAAGAGAAUAUUGUCUUAUAACUGUCUUAGGCAUACUGUUAAAAGGCUGUGUACAAGGAUGCCAAAGAGAAAACAGGUAAAUGUAUUUUAUUAUUAUGUUUUGUGGACACCAUUAAGUACUUGGUAUGUUUUUAAGUACUAUUCCCAACCAUGUUCUUGUUCCAAAGUAAUAUUAGGAGCACUUCAAAUCAUUGGGCCAAGCAAUCAAAUAUUAUUACAUGCCUAUUGUUUUAAGGCAUCAUUCUAGGGGCCGAAAAAUGACAAGAAAAGAUAGUUAAUAAUACAGUUUCUGUCCUUGAGUAUUUUUACAAUUAAUCAGAAAUGACUUCUUGUUGUUUUUUAAAAAUCUUUAUUGUUAAAAGUAUUACAUAUGUCCCCUUCCCCUACUCCACUGACUUCUUCAAGAAAUUACUUCUUAACCAUUUCUAGAUUUCUGUCCUACCCUCAAAUAAAACGAAGAGUGCUACCUUU